CAUGCAAGUCGAGGGGCAGCGGGAUUGAAGCUUGCUUCAAUUGCCGGCGACCGGCGCACGGGUGAGUAACGCGUAUCCAACCUUCCGUACACUCAGGGAUAGCCUUUCGAAAGAAAGAUUAAUACCUGAUGGUAUGAUGAGAUUGCAUGAUAGCAUCAUUAAAGAUUUAUCGGUGUACGAUGGGGAUGCGUUCCAUUAGGUAGUAGGCGGGGUAACGGCCCACCUAGCCAACGAUGGAUAGGGGUUCUGAGAGGAAGGUCCCCCACAUUGGAACUGAGACACGGUCCAAACUCCUACGGGAGGCAGCAGUGAGGAAUAUUGGCCAAUGGACGAGAGUCUGAACCAGCCAAGUAGCGUGAAGGAUGAAGGUCUUACGGAUUGUAAACUUCUUUUAUAAGGGAAUAAAACCUCCCACGUGUGGGAGCUUGUAUGUACCUUAUGAAUAAGCAUCGGCUAACUCCGUGCCAGCAGCCGCGGUAAUACGGAGGAUGCGAGCGUUAUCCGGAUUUAUUGGGUUUAAAGGGAGCGCAGACGGGUCGUUAAGUCAGCUGUGAAAGUUUGGGGCUCAACCUUAAAAUUGCAGUUGAUACUGGCGUCCUUGAGUGCGGUUGAGGUGUGCGGAAUUCGUGGUGUAGCGGUGAAAUGCUUAGAUAUCACGAAGAACUCCGAUUGCGAAGGCAGCACACUAAGCCGUAACUGACGU
rnacentral:rRNA from 1 species